UACGUAGGGUGCAGGCGUUAAUCGGAAUUACUGGGCGUAAAGCGUGCGCAGGCGGUUCUAUAAGACAGAUGUGAAAUCCCCGGGCUCAACCUGGGAACUGCAUUUGUGACUGGCAAGCUAGAGUAUGGCAGAGGGGGGUAGAAUUCCACGUGUAGCAGUGGAAUGCGUAGAGAUGUGGAGGAAUACCGAUGGCGAAGGCAGCCCCCUGGACCAAUACUGACGCUCAUGCACGAAAGCGUGGGGAGCAAACAGG
rnacentral:rRNA from 1 species